rnacentral:rRNA from 1 species
UUAAGGGCGCACGGUGGAUGCCUUGGCACUAGAAGCCGAUGAAGGACGUUACUAACGACGAUAUGCUUUGGGGAGCUGUAAGUAAGCUUUGAUCCAGAGAUUUCCGAAUGGGGAAACCCAGCAUGAGUUAUGUCAUGUUAUCGAUAUGUGAAUACAUAGCAUAUCAGAAGGCACACCCGGAGAACUGAAACAUCUUAGUACCCGGAGGAAGAGAAAGAAAAUUCGAUUCCCUUAGUAGCGGCGAGCGAAACGGGAAGAGCCCAAACCAACAAGCUUGCUUGUUGGGGUUGUAGGACACUCUAUACGGAGUUACAAAGGACGACAUUAGACGAAUCAUCUGGAAAGAUGAAUCAAAGAAGGUAAUAAUCCUGUAGUCGAAAAUGUUGUCUCUCUUGAGUGGAUCCUGAGUACGACGGAACACGUGAAAUUCCGUCGGAAUCUGGGAGGACCAUCUCCUAAGGCUAAAUACUCUCUAGUGACCGAUAGUGAACCAGUACCGUGAGGGAAAGGUGAAAAGCACCCCGGAAGGGGAGUGAAAUAGAACCUGAAACCGUGUGCUUACAAGUAGUCAGAGCCCGUUAAUGGGUGAUGGCGUGCCUUUUGUAGAAUGAACCGGCGAGUUACGAUUUGAUGCAAGGUUAAGCAGUAAAUGUGGAGCCGUAGCGAAAGCGAGUCUGAAUAGGGCGUUUAGUAUUUGGUCGUAGACCCGAAACCAGGUGAUCUACCCUUGGUCAGGUUGAAGUUCAGGUAACACUGAAUGGAGGACCGAACCGACUUACGUUGAAAAGUGAGCGGAUGAACUGAGGGUAGCGGAGAAAUUCCAAUCGAACCUGGAAAUAGCUGGUUCUCUCCGAAAUAGCUUUAGGGCUAGCCUCAAGUGAUGAUUAUUGGAGGUAGAGCACUGUUUGGACGAGGGGCCCCUCUCGGGUUACCGAAUUCAGACAAACUCCGAAUGCCAAUUAAUUUAACUUGGGAGUCAGAACAUGGGUGAUAAGGUCCGUGUUCGAAAGGGAAACAGCCCAGACCACCAGCUAAGGUCCCAAAAUAUAUGUUAAGUGGAAAAGGAUGUGGCGUUGCCCAGACAACUAGGAUGUUGGCUUAGAAGCAGCCAUCAUUUAAAGAGUGCGUAAUAGCUCACUAGUCGAGUGACACUGCGCCGAAAAUGUACCGGGGCUAAACAUAUUACCGAAGCUGUGGAUUGUCCUUUGGACAAUGGUAGGAGAGCGUUCUAAGGGCGUUGAAGCAUGAUCGUAAGGACAUGUGGAGCGCUUAGAAGUGAGAAUGCCGGUGUGAGUAGCGAAAGACGGGUGAGAAUCCCGUCCACCGAUUGACUAAGGUUUCCAGAGGAAGGCUCGUCCGCUCUGGGUUAGUCGGGUCCUAAGCUGAGGCCGACAGGCGUAGGCGAUGGAUAACAGGUUGAUAUUCCUGUACCACCUAUAAUCGUUUUAAUCGAUGGGGGGACGCAGUAGGAUAGGCGAAGCGUGCGAUUGGAUUGCACGUCUAAGCAGUAAGGCUGAGUAUUAGGCAAAUCCGGUACUCGUUAAGGCUGAGCUGUGAUGGGGAGAAGACAUUGAGUCUUCGAGUCGUUGAUUUCACACUGCCGAGAAAAGCCUCUAGAUAGAAAAUAGGUGCCCGUACCGCAAACCGACACAGGUAGUCAAGAUGAGAAUUCUAAGGUGAGCGAGCGAACUCUCGUUAAGGAACUCGGCAAAAUGACCCCGUAACUUCGGGAGAAGGGGUGCUCUUUAGGGUUAACGCCCAGAAGAGCCGCAGUGAAUAGGCCCAAGCGACUGUUUAUCAAAAACACAGGUCUCUGCUAAACCGUAAGGUGAUGUAUAGGGGCUGACGCCUGCCCGGUGCUGGAAGGUUAAGAGGAGUGGUUAGCUUCUGCGAAGCUACGAAUCGAAGCCCCAGUAAACGGCGGCCGUAACUAUAACGGUCCUAAGGUAGCGAAAUUCCUUGUCGGGUAAGUUCCGACCCGCACGAAAGGCGUAACGAUUUGGGCACUGUCUCAACGAGAGACUCGGUGAAAUCAUAGUACCUGUGAAGAUGCAGGUUACCCGCGACAGGACGGAAAGACCCCGUGGAGCUUUACUGUAGCCUGAUAUUGAAAUUCGGCACAGCUUGUACAGGAUAGGUAGGAGCCUUUGAAACGUGAGCGCUAGCUUACGUGGAGGCGCUGGUGGGAUACUACCCUAGCUGUGUUGGCUUUCUAACCCGCACCACUUAUCGUGGUGGGAGACAGUGUCAGGCGGGCAGUUUGACUGGGGCGGUCGCCUCCUAAAAGGUAACGGAGGCGCUCAAAGGUUCCCUCAGAAUGGUUGGAAAUCAUUCAUAGAGUGUAAAGGCAUAAGGGAGCUUGACUGCGAGACCUACAAGUCGAGCAGGGUCGAAAGACGGACUUAGUGAUCCGGUGGUUCCGCAUGGAAGGGCCAUCGCUCAACGGAUAAAAGCUACCCCGGGGAUAACAGGCUUAUCUCCCCCAAGAGUUCACAUCGACGGGGAGGUUUGGCACCUCGAUGUCGGCUCAUCGCAUCCUGGGGCUGUAGUCGGUCCCAAGGGUUGGGCUGUUCGCCCAUUAAAGCGGUACGCGAGCUGGGUUCAGAACGUCGUGAGACAGUUCGGUCCCUAUCCGUCGUGGGCGUAGGAAAUUUGAGAGGAGCUGUCCUUAGUACGAGAGGACCGGGAUGGACAUACCUCUGGUGUACCAGUUGUCGUGCCAACGGCAUAGCUGGGUAGCUAUGUGUGGACGGGAUAAGUGCUGAAAGCAUCUAAGCAUGAAGCCCCCCUCAAGAUGAGAUUUCCCAACUUCGGUUAUAAGAUCCCUCAAAGAUGAUGAGGUUAAUAGGUUCGAGGUGGAAGCAUGGUGACAUGUGGAGCUGACGAAUACUAAUCGAUCGAAGACUUAAUC